GACCAACUAAGUUAGUUCUUGGUAUAAGCUUUCGUGUGCAUGCACACUUCUUCAGAUACACUGAAACAGAAGUUGCCAGAUCCUUCUUCUGUUUCAGUGUAUCUGAAGAAGUGUGCAUGCACACGAAAGCUUAUACCAAGAACUAACUUAGUUGG